rnacentral:ribozyme from 1 species
GAUGUCGGAAGUCCUCUCGAAAUUACGCUUCCAACUACAGGAGCAAAAAAGAUGCUAAUCCAGAUGUCACCAGGCAAAGAUAGAGUCCUUGCUUUGUCGAAGGUUGAUUUUUCUAGUAUUGAUUUUAGCCCUGUGUUUAUGGGUGCUCCUGAUCUCUCUAGUGCUACCUUAAGCUUUCCAAA